CUCCAAUAAUGAUUUAGGGAGGACUGAUUCUUUUUCAAUUUCAUUGAAGAGUUUAAGGAGUGUUUGAUUUAAAUCUUCUCUAAAUUUCUUAUAGAAUUCAGCCAUGAAUCCAUCAGGACCUGGUCUUUUCUUUGUUGGAUCUAUUUUGGAGAAUGUCCCAUGUGCAGCUGAGAAGAAUGUAUAUUCUGAUGUGGUUGGGUGGAACACUCUGUAAACAUCCACUAAGUCCAUUCACUCACAGACUUUUUCAGUGACCUACCAUAGGGGUCUGAUGACCAGUCAUUCUCAAGCAUCUCUAAAUCCAGCAUGCCAUACUGAUGACCAGCAGAAACAGAAGUUGGGGAGUAUAAUUCAUCCCAUCAUUUGCAUGACCCUGCCAGUCUUGAUUACUUUUCUCUUGCUGCUAAGACAAAAUACUUGAUGCCCAAAAUGAAAAAGGGAAAGGUUUAUUUAGCUUACAGUUUGUGGAGGUUUUAGUCCAUAUACAGGUGUUUCUAAGACAAGGUAGUGUGUCUAAGGGGCAGCCCAUGGUGGCUGAAAGCAAUAAAAGUGAAAGGGCAGAAAGAGAAAAGCACACCUCCUUUCCUCCCUUUUAUUGUAUCCCAGCUACCUGCCCCUAGGCGGGUGAGGCACUCAGAUUGCCAAUCCCAGUUCUGGACAAUGAACCAAUCAUAAAUGCUAGAUUCAGCCACCUCCAUGACUGUGUGAGGCUUUGGAGGGACACCCAGACACAAACCAUAACAAUCUCUGUACUCGGUAUGUGAGAUAAAAAAAUAAUUUCUUC